CGGGCCUGUAGUGCAGUGAAGAACUGGGGGAUAGAAGUGUAUGACAUCUUUGUUGUUCUUAAGGAGUUCAGGACUGCUUUUGAACCAUUAUCGAAAUGAUCAACAGAGUAGCAGAGUCACCAAUAGUACAUCAUGUGAAAUGCCAGGCUGGAUGAAUCACAAGCUGGAAUCAAAAUUGCCAGGAGAAAUAUCAAUAACCUCAGAUAUGCAGAUGAUACCACCUAAUGGUAGAAAGCCUACCACCCUAAUUGCAGGAUGAUACCACCCUAAUGGUAGAGAGCUUCUUGAUGAGGAUGAAAGA